rnacentral:rRNA from 1 species
UUCCUCUUUAUUAAGAGGUAGGGCCUGCUCACUGAUGUAUUUAAGAGCCGCGGUAUAUUGACUGUGCUAAGGUAGCAUAAUAAUUUGUCUUUUAAUUGAAGACUAGAAUGAAUGGUUUAACGAGAAAUUAACUUUUUUGAAAGUAACAUUUUGAAUUUAAUUUUUUAGUGAAAAAGCUAAAAUAGAAUAAAAAGACGAGAAGACCCUAUAGAGUUUUAUAUUUGAAUUAUUUGUUUUUAAAUAAUUUUGGUAAUCGCAAAUAAGUAAAUUAUUUUGUUGGGGCGACAUUUAGAUAAGAAAAACUUUUUAUUUUUAAAAUUUCAAUUGAAAAAUUUUUGAUCCUUAAAAAAGAUUAAAAGAAUAAGUUACCUUAGGGAUAACAGCGUAAUCUUUCUUGAGAGUUCUAAUCGACAGAAAGGUUUGCGACCUCGAUGUUGGACUAAAAUUAAAUUAAGGAGCAGUAUCCUUAGAUUUAGGUCUGUUCGACCUAUAGACUUUU